AAAAAAAAAAAGAAGAAGCUGCAGAGAUAUUGGGAUUGAAGAUGGAGUCUCUUCGUAUUGCACGGGAACACAAAGUCAAGAUUUGACUUGCUGACAAACACGGAAGAGAAGCAAAAUGCAGGAUUCCUUCAUGGAAAGAUGGGGUGAGGAGCAGGACAGCCUGGCUGAAGGCUCAGCACCGUGCUGGCAGAGCAGGAUGUGGCGCUUACUUCGGUGGAGUUACGCCAGGAAUGGACUUGGCCCCAGCCUGUCUGAGGGUUAUUGUAUCUGCAUUCCCCCAUGCAUACACUGUCGAGAUGUAUUAACUUCCUUAAAUGUACCAGUAAAACAACCUCUUAUGAUACACUUUAAUGAACUUGUACAGUAGCCAACAAAUUGUGCAUCAUAUAAAACCCAUUCGGCCUUA